rnacentral:lncRNA from 1 species
UCAUGGAAGGAACUUCAUAAAUCAUUGUUGUUCCAGGAAAAUGAAAUCCAGUCAGUCCUCUAUGGUAUAAGUGCAAGGAUCACCCUAUCUUGAGUUUUCUUGGUGCACGGAAGCUCCCGGAAAGGGCAGCACAGAUCUUCCUGGUUGCGGCCACCACGGAGAGCUCAUAAGCAACACCCCACAAGCAAACUUGAGCCUCGGGACCACAGGACAGUGAUGCCCCAGGAAAACCAGAGCCACAUGACAGAAUUCCUCCUUUUAGGACUGACCAGCAACCCCAAACAACAGAUCUCAUGAUAAGUCUGAAGACUUCCAAUCACCUACUAACCAAUAAAUUUCUUACAUGUUGUGGAAGUUCAUUUCCAUGUGUUACUUUGGAUGUGGUAAGGUAUAACCAUAUAUGUGGAAAAUGUUAUUUAUGGGUGAAUUUCUAAGACUACAUCUAGAAAAGAUUAUUCCUCUGUCCAUGAAAAGAGUGUUUUCCACGGGGGUGGGUGUUAUCCAAUCUAUCAAGGGCCCAUUGAACAAAAAAGAAGAGACUGCUAAUGUACUUUACUCUUGAGCUAAUAAUAUCUCUUAACUCUGUCCCAGUAACCAGCCCAGCAUAAAGGUAGACUGAGGCAAGCAGCAAUGGGUGGCGUCAGUGUCUGCAGGGACAAAAGUUGUGAUUGCUGUGACACAAGUUGCUUACUAUUUAGCAUUUUUUUCUUUCUUUAACUCUUCGCUAUUCUAAGGCCAAAAGCCUCUGGCUUCUGGUGCUUAGCUCCUGAUGUUAGUAGCAUGGAAUUAAGAAAAAGCCUUAGUUACUACGUUCUUUUCUCUCUGGUUCAAGGGCCCAUAGGUAGCCAAGUGAGAGGUUCAGAGUUCAACUCUUCUUGAACCAGAGAGAAAAGAAAAGAAAAGAAAAAAGGAAGGAAGGAAAGAAGGAAGGGAGGCAGGAAGAAAGGAAGGAAGAAAGGAAGAAAGAAACAAAGAAACCAAGAAAGAAAAAGAGAAGAAAGAAAGGAAAAGAAAAGUUGAGCAUGCAGGAAAAAAACACAUUCUUGAUAAAACAGAGAAAGGAAAACUCCAACAAACCUUUAUUUCUGUCAUUUAAACCGUCUCUUAAAAAAUUAUUCAAUGAUCAGGUAGAAUUGUUACAAGAUAAUUGAUUACAUGAUUUUCUAAACACUUUUAUAUUCCAUGUAAACGUUCAUAGUAAGCUUAAAUAAAAGUUAAUAGUAAGUUUAAGUUCAUGUCAUAAAUUGAUAAGAUUUAAGAAUAUCAGAAUUGUUUACAUGUCUUCCCAUUAAGACUAGUACCUGACUAAACAUUCAUUGUCUGUUACUAGCUCCAUGAAAUCAUUAUAAGUUUAAAGCAAUAAUUUUUUAUGUCACAAGUUAGCAUGGUUUUGUCAAAAGACAAUCAUCUGCCUAGUGUCUUAUUGUUUUGAAGUUUUGUAUAAAUAAACCAGUCAUUAUUUUAUUUUCUGUCCUUGAACCUACAAUAAAUUGUCUAUUCCCAGUUUAUGACUGUUAGUUACUAGAUAAUGGUUUCACUCUUAACCUAGAAGGAAUGUUUUUCUUGAUUAUAAAUUUGUUCCAAACCUGCUUUCUUUUACUAGUGCAAUUAGCCCUUGGCACAUGAAGGUUUACAGAGUUAUAG